UACGAGGGGGCUAAUGUUGUUCGGAAUCACUGGGCGUAAAGGGAGCGUAGGCGGGUGUUUAAGUUAGGUGUUUAAUCCUGGGGCCCAACCCCAGUCGUGCACCUAAAACUGGACAUCUUGAAUAGGGGAGAGGUCAGUGGAAUUGGGGGUGUAGCGGUGGAAUGCGUAGAGAUCCCCAAGAACACCAGUUGCGAAGGCGGCUGACUGGACCCAUAUUGACGCUGAGGCUCGAAAGCCAGGGAGCAAC
rnacentral:rRNA from 1 species